GAUGAACGCUGGCGGCGUGCCUAAUACAUGCAAGUCGAGCGAAUGGAUUGAGAGCUUGUUCUUAUGAAGUUAGCGGCGGACGGGUGAGUAACACGUGGGUAACCUGCCCAUAAGACUGGGAUAACUCCGGGAAACCGGGGCUAAUACCGGAUAACAUUUUGAACCGCAUGGUUCGGAAUUGAAAGGCGGCUUCGGCUGUCACUUAUGGAUGGACCCGCGUCGCAUUAGCUAGUUGGUGAGGUAACGGCUCACCAAGGCAACGAUGCGUAGCCGACCGGAGAGGGUGAUCGGCCACACUGGGACUGAGACACGGCCCAGACUCCUACGGGAGGCAGCAGUAGGGAAUCUUCCGCAAUGGACGGAAGUCUGACGGAGCAACGCCGCGUGAGUGAUGAAGGCUUUCGGGUCGUAAAACUCUGUUGUUAGGGAAGAACAAGUGCUAGUUGAAUAAGCUGGCACCUUGACGGUACCUAACCAGAAAGCCACGGCUAACUACGUGCCAGCAGCCGCGGUAA
rnacentral:rRNA from 1 species